GAUGAACGCUGGUGGCGUGCCUAAUACAUGCAAGUCGAGCGAACCACUUCGGUGGUGAGCGGCGAACGGGUGAGUAACACGUAGGUGAUCUGCCCAUCAGACGGGGACAACGAUUGGAAACGAUCGCUAACACCGGAUAGGACGAAAGUUUAAAGGUGCUUCUGUCACCGCUGAUGGAUGAGCCUGCGGCGCAUUAGAUAGUUGGUAGGGUAAAGGCCAACCAAGGCGACGAUGCGUAGCCGACCUGAGAGGGUGAACGGUCACACUGGGACCGAGACACGGCCCAGACUCCUACGGGAGGCAGCAGUAGGGAAUCUUCGGCAAUGGGCGAAAGCCUGACCGAGCAACGCCGCGUGAAUGAUGAAGGCCUUCGGGUUGUAAAAUUCUGUUAUAAGGGAAGAACGACUUUAGUAGGAAAUGGCUAGAGUGUGACGGUACCUUAUGAGAAAGCCACGGCUAACUACGUGCCAGCCGCCGCAGUAA
rnacentral:rRNA from 1 species